ensembl:snoRNA SNORA71 Small nucleolar RNA SNORA71
UCCUGUAUCGAAAGUGAUCAUGGUGUGUUUGUCUCCAGGUCAUUGAUAGUACAGGAACAGCAACAUGAGAGCUUUCCCGUGUUUAAAGGACUUCCUGUUCCUCUUGAACCCUGACGCUCUCAGACA